GAGACGCUUCACUGAACUGCUAAAUCAAUCCACCGGACCUAAACGUCUGGGCUUCUC
rnacentral:tRNA from 1 species